rnacentral:rRNA from 1 species
UGCGUAGNCGGUUAUAUUAGUCGGGCGUAAAAUCCUAGGCUCAACCUUAGGCUCGCGUUCGAAACGGUAUAACUAGGAGUAGUGAGAGGUGAACAGAACUCACGGUGUAGGGNUGAAAUCCGUUGAUAUCGUGGGGAAUACCAAAUGCGAAGGCAGUUCACUGGCGCUUACUCGACGCUGAGGCACGAAAGCGUGGGUAGCGAACGGGAUUAGAUACCCCGGUAGUCCACGCCCUAAACGCUGUCCGCUGGCUUUAGGGAGAAUCGACCCUCCCUGAGGCGAAGGUAACCCGUUAAGCGGACCGCCUGGGUAGUACGAGCGCAAGCUUAGAACUCAAAGGAAUAGACGGGGGCUCGCACAAGCGGUGGAUCAUGAGGCUUAAUUCGUCGAUAAGCGAAAAACCUUACCCAGGCUAGAAACCAUACUGCACGCUCUCCGAAAGGAGAGAAUCCUUCGAGGGUGUAUGGCAGGUGAUGCAUGGCCGUCGUCAGUUCGUGGCUUGAGCUGUUCCCUUAAGUGGGGAAACGAACGCAACCCUCGUUACCUGUUACAAGUGUCAGGCGAGACUGCUCCCUCACGGGAGAGGAAGGUGAGGAUGACGCCAGGCCAGCAUGUCCCUUGAUGCCUGGGGCUGCACUCGUGAUACAAUGGGAUGUACAAAGGGACGCAAUACAGUAAUGUGGAGCAAAUCCUGAUAAAACAUUCCUCAGUUCGGAUUGAGGGCUGCAACUCGCCCUCAUGAAGCCGGAAUCGCUAGUAAUCGUGAAUCAGCACGUCACGGUGAAUACGUUCCCGAGCCUUGUACUCACCGCCCGUCAAGUCAGGGGAGUCGGAAGUGCCCGAAGGUCGUCCUCGCGGCGAACUA